GCGUCCCCCUACAGAGUGCUGGUGUUGGGGGGGACCCUCGGUGCCGCAGCUAACGCAUUAAGCACCCCACCUGGGGAGUACGAUCGCAAGAUUGAAACUCCAAGGAAUUGACGGGGGCCCGCACAAGCGGUGGAGCAUGUGGUUUAAUUCCAAGCAACCCGAAGAACCUUACCAAGGCUUGACCUCCCGAUGACCGGUGUAGAGGUACACUUUUCUUUCGAGACAUCGGUGACAGGUGGUGCAUGGUUGUCGUCAGCUCGUGUCGUGAGAUGUUGGGUUAAGUCCCGCAACGAGCGCAACCCUUAUCUUCAGUAGCCAUCAUUUAGUUGGGCACUCUGGAGAGACUGCCGUGGAUAACACCGAGGAAGGUGGGGAUGACGUCAAAUCAUCAUGCCCCUUAUGUCUUGGGCAACACACGUGCUACAAUGGCUGGUAACAAAGGGAAGCAAGCAGGUGACUGUAAGCAAAUCUCAAAAACCCAGUCCCAGUUCGGAUUGUAGUCUGCAACUCGACUACAUGAAGCUGGAAUCGCUAGUAAUCGCGAAUCAGAAUGUCGCGGUGAAUACGUUCCCGGGCCUUGUACACACCGCCCGUCACACCACGGGAGUUGGAAGCACCCGAAGUCGAUGACCUGACCGUAAGGAGGGAGUCGCCGAAGGUGAAGCCAGUGACUGGGGUGAAGUCGUAACAAGG
rnacentral:rRNA from 1 species